rnacentral:lncRNA from 1 species
CUCUUCUGCAUGUUUGAAUUAUAUUUGAUUCCGGAACAUUAGCAUUGCCAUGAACUUCCUUGUACAAUUGAAAGAAUGUUUUUUAUUAGGUCAAAUAUGUUGAAGUAGAAAGAUUGACACAUCAUGAAAAAGUGGGAAGGUGACUAAAAACAAAUGCUAAACUACUUUGUUGAAAUAUUGAGAAAAUAAAUAUUCCUUUAGCAGCUCACACAUGUCAUAACAUUUAUGAAAUGGAAUGCAACUAAGUUGUAUUUUAAUAGAUGUGGAUUUAGUUAAUUCAAUCCACCACUAAGUCUAUCGAGAGAAUUAUUAGAUAGAAAAGAAAUUCACUGCGACCCCUCAGACCAUGUAAACAAGAUAUCGUCACACUGCUGUAUUGUGCUCAAAAUAUCAAAAAAGAUAUAUAUCUCAAACUUCUCACUGAUCAUUUUCAGUAAAAGAUGUGUCAAACCUAAAGUAACUGGAUUAAUGUUUGUGACAAAGCCCUUUCCCAUCCUUCACAAUAUAUGCUUUGAACUUUGCUAACAUGAGAGAUGAAUUAGGUGCAAAAUAGUUGGUGAAAGUGAUUUCUCAGAGCAAGAAAUAUAUGAAAAAGAAGUAGAUGAAAUGAAAUGAUUAUGGAACUACCAUUGGGCCAUUGAUGUAAUUGAUGGUAGUAUGCUAAUGCGGUAAUUUCAGUUCUUUAACACAAUAAAUACCAGAUUUUUUUCUUUUUCGAAUUCUCCAAUUGGAAUAGUCAAGUUCGCCAAAUCAAUAACAAAAUUUCACAUGGAUGCAAAAGUCUCCCAAAUGACUCUUCGAUAAUUAAAAAAGGGAACCUUCUAUCAUUAGCUUUACUCUAUACAUUGAAGUGAUCAUAAAGCUUGAUAAAAACACAAAAUAUGACUAACAUAUAUACUGAUUUCCCAUCAUCAUGAUUUAGAGACCAAAUUAGAGUAUGUUUGGGGUGGCUUAUAAGUAAGAUUGUAAAUAUGAGAGAAACGGGCAAACCAUUUUUUUCUCAUACAUAUAUUUGCACAAGGUUAUCAAAGCUACGAAAGAGAACAGUGCAACAAAAAAAGAGGAUAUAUUACAAUCUAGAAAAAUCUUGACCAUGAUGGUGAACUUCUAGCAAAAAGCAUAUUAGAAGAAGAUGAUAAAAUCCAGAACGUUACAUUAAAAUCAAGUACGAUAAGAGCUAUUAGAAAAUAUACACAGCAAACUGGCAAUUCUGCCCAUUUAUUCCCUAUAAUUGAUAAUAAGAAACUAGGACGAAUAAUUCCUCCUCAGCCCAUGUCUCUUUUUUAACUACUAGAUCUAGAUGAUUGUGCCACUUUAAGAUCAUGUGCAGCAACAGAACUUUAGAACAUAGGCCAUAUCUUAACAUUAGGUAAAAAUAUCAAAGGUUUAACUAAAUUAUGUAGACGAGUACAUUUGCUUUAUUUAUGACGAAAAGUGUGCAACUGUCCUUAAAAGAAUAAUAGAAUCCAAUCUUAUGCUUUUCACAUGCAAGUAAUGACCCUUCAACCUAUUUAAACGAUGGAGUGUGUUGAAGACUAUUUAAAUGAUGUAUAUGUGGUAUUAUCUAACAAUAUAAGUUUUUAGAUCUAGUGUUUAAAUGGUGACUAAAGAAAACAAGAGGAAAUAAAACAACAUAGCUUAAUUGUGAUAUAUUAUUUAAACAAAUGACUGUCCAUAAAUAUAUUUAUUGUAGUUCUUUCUAAUAAAAGAGUCUCAAACUGUCAUUAUGAAUACGGUCAAACCUAUCAGUCAUGUAAAGUAACGCUGAAAAAAAAAACUAUCGUAACAUGAUAACCUCAUUUCAAUAUCUAUAUAAAGAAAUAAAGAACAUUUGAUUUGCAAGAACCUUUAUAUAGAUCGAAGAACCAUGUCUACCAAUCAAUUUAAGAACCAUAUGACAUUUUAUUAUCUAAAUCAUUGUCCACACAAGGGAAAAAAUUAAGUAAUGAAACUAGGGCAUUUAGUAUACAUUUGUUUAACUGAAAAACAAACAAUUUAAUCAUUUUUUUCUGCACUGUAAUUAGUCUAAUAAGAGGAUUGUGACAAGAUCCGCUAAAUUAUGAAUUGAUUUUUGUGUAAAACUCUAAUCUAAGUGUAUGCCAAACACGUUCUUUAAGUUGGCAACUGGACAAAAUUAACAAAUUACAACAGGAGAAAAAAAAUACAAAGUAAAACUUACAUUUCUACCAUGCCUCAGUGCAUUAUAAAGGAAUCAAUGACAUCUUUAAAACCAUUUUAAUUAUAGUACUCGCUCAAAAUGUCCUUUUGAAUGCUAGCUAUUGUGAAAACUUUUAUAUUUUGACGUAACUAUAACAAAUCAUUUAUUAUUGAUCGAACCAUUUAUAUCCACACAUUUUACGGAACCACAAAUACUACCCACUUAUCUAUUAUUGGUUCCUAUAAUUUAUUAAACGGUUUACAAGCACUUCUCAAACAAGUCAACUUUAUUUUUUACAUUGUGGAUUUAAAUAAUUUUGUGAAGUUUAGAGAGUUAACAACACAAUUCAUUUAUUUUAAUUGCAAAUAAAUUAUUCUAAUUCGUCAAAAUCUACUACGAAUAGCAGAGAUGAAUCCAUACAAAAACAAUUCCUAGAAUUCCUUAAGGGGAGAAAUAAUUGCAAAUGAAACAUUCUAAUCAAUCAUAUUAUGAAAACCAAAUACUAAUCACAAAAAUGUCACCACAAAAUCCAAUUGUAAGAAUUCAUGAUGCAAAUAGAAAUUGUUGUAUAAUUAAUCAGAAUCAAAUAUGAAUAGAAAAAAUGUAUCCACGCAAAACCCAAUAACUACCAUACAUAAAAGGAAAGAGAAAAUUACAGACAAAAUACUCAAGUUAAUCAAGUCAAAUAUGAGAAAAAGCAUCUACAACAAACCCAAUUGAUAGAAUUCAUAAGGGGAAACAUAAAAUUCCUAUCAAAAUACUCAAGUUAGUUAAAAUCAACUACUAAUCACAAAGAUGUAUUGUCGAGCAAAAUGGGGAACAUGGACUCGACUGCACAAAGGGCUUUAAAAUAACUUUGUAGGAGAUCACGGCGUGCGGCAACAAAUAGAAGGGGAUAAAACCUUUUUAUAGUAGCAAAUUAACAUUUACUUACCAAAAAAUCUUUUUUUAAUCAUUCUCUUCGUCGUUCUCUUUCUCGAUGAUGAAAACUUCAAACCUCUACAAAAGAAAAUAAAAACAAAAGAUUAAAAUUUUUGGGAUGAAACCUCUUGCUAAAUUAAGCGGUAUAUACGAAAAAUAGAAAAUAGAGAGUCAAGUAAUUGUGUAGGAGAAGUGCAAAGAAGAACGAUAGUUUGUGUGUAAAAAUAGAGAAAGAGUAAGAAUAAAUGGGGGAGAGAAAGAAGUCUGUG